CCCCGUUGAAAAGGUGGCGGAUGAGGUGUGGCUAGCGGAGAAAUUCCAAUCGAACCCGGAUAUAGCUGGUUCUCCCCGAAAUAGCUUUAGGGCUAGCGUUGUAUAUAAUUGUCGGAGGUAAAGCACUGAAUGGGCUAGGGGCCGAGAGGUUACUGAACCCUAUCAAACUAAGAAUGCCGAGCAAUGUGAGUACAGCAGUCAGACAGUGUGAGAUAAGUCUCAUUGUCGAAAGGGAAAGAGCCCAGACCCACAGCUAAGGUCCCAAAAUUAAUUUAAGUGGAGAAGGAUGUGGGGUUGCAUAGACAACCAGGAUGUUGGCUUAGAAGCAGCCAUACAUUAAAAGAGUGCGUAAUAGCUCACUGGUCGAGUGACCCUGCGCCGAAAAUUCAACGGGGCUAAAAUUAAUACCGAAGCUUGGGCUUGAUGACUUGUCAUCAGGGGUAGGGGAGCGUUGUGUAAGAGGAGAAGUCAUAGCGGAAGCGAUGGUGGAUUUUACACAAGUGAGAAUGCCGGAAUGAGUAGCGAGAAUUAUGUGAGAAUCAUAAUGGCCGAAAAUCUAAGGUUUUAGGAGGAAGGUUCGUCCGCUCCUAGUAAGCCGGGAGCUAAGGUGAGGCGGAGACGCGUAGCCGAUGCACAUACGGUAGAAAAUCCGUAGCCUCCAAAAUAUUUAAACACAGGGACACUUUGAAGAUGUUUAGCCGGGCGAUGGUUGCCCCGGUCGAAAGGGACUGAAAAUGUUCGGGAAGUAAACAUGGACGAAGGCGAGAAAAGCUGUGUGAAUAUAUGAGGAGCCCGUACCGCAAACCGACACAGGUAGAUAGGAAGAGAAUUCCAAGGCCAACGGGAGAAGGGUUGUUAAGGAACUCGGCAAGUUGACCCCGUAACUUCGGGAGAAGGGGUGCUCAUGAAAGUGAGCCGCAGAGAAUAGGCCCAAGCGACUGUUUAGCAAAAACACAGCUCUAUGCUAAAUCGAAAGAUGACGUAUAUGGGGUGACACCUGCCCGGUGCUGGAAGGUUAAGAGGAGGGGUGAGAGCUCUGAAUUGAAGCCCCAGUAAACGGCGGCCGUAACUAUAACGGUCCUAAGGUAGCGAAAUUCCUUGUCAGGUAAGUUCUGACCCGCACGAAUGGUGUAACGAUUUGGGCACUGUCUCAACAACCCGCCCGGCGAAAUUGUAGUACCGGUGAAGAUGCCGGUUACCCGCGACUAGACGGAAAGACCCCAUGGAGCUUCACUGUAGCUUAAUAUUGGAUUUCGGUAUUUGAUGUACAGGAUAGGUGGGAGACUAGGAAGCAAAGGCGUCAGCUUUUGUGGAGUCAAACUUGGGAUACCACUCUUUAAGUGCUGGAAUUCUAACCUGCGACCAUGAAACUGGUCGGGGGACAAUGUUAGGUGGGCAGUUUGACUGGGGCGGUCGCCUCCAAAAAGGUAACGGAGGCGCUCAAAGGUUAGCUCAGUAUGGAUGGAAACCAUGCGAAGAGUGUAAACGCGUAAGCUAGCCUAACUGCGAGACUGACGGGUCGAGCAGUAACGAAAGUUGGAGUUAGUGAUCCGGCGGUAUGUGAAUGGAAAUGCCGUCGCUCAACGGAUAAAAGCUACCCUGGGGAUAACAGGCUGAUCUCCCCCAAGAGUCCACAUCGACGGGGAGGUUUGGCACCUCGAUGUCGGCUCA
rnacentral:rRNA from 1 species